rnacentral:rRNA from 1 species
CUUUGGUGGAAAGCGGCGGACGGGUGAGUAACGCGUGGGCAACCUACCUUAUACAGGGGGACAACAUCGGGAAACCGGUGCUAAUACCGCAUAACACAUUGAAAUGGAAUCAUUAUGAUGUCAAAGGAGGAAUCCGGUAUAAGAUGGGCCCGCGUCCAAUUAGCUAGUUGGUGAGGUAACGGCUCACCAAGGCGACGAUUGGUAGCCGAACUGAGAGGUUGAUCGGCCACAUUGGGACUGAGACACGGCUCAGACUCCUACGGGAGGCAGCAGUGGGGAAUAUUGCACAAUGGGGGAAGCCCUGAUGCAGCAACGCCGCGUGAAGGAUGAAGGUCUUCGGAUUGUAAACUUCUUUGAUUGGGGAAGAAGAAGUGACGGUACCCAAAAAACAAGCCACGGCUAACUACGUGCCAGCAGCCGCGGUAAUACGUAGGUGGCAAGCGUUGUCCGGAAUUACUGGGUGUAAAGGGCGUGUAGGCGGGGAUGCAAGUCAGGUGUGAAAGCCCAUGGCUCAACUGUGGGACUGCAUCUGAAACUGAAUCUCUUGAGUACUGGAGAGGGAAGUGGAAUUCCUAAGUGUAGCGGUGAAAUGCGUAGAGAUUAGGAGGAACACCAGUGGCGAAGGCGGCUUCCUGGACAGUAACUGACGCUGAGGCGCGAAAGCGUGGGGAGCGAACAGGAUUAGAUACCCUGGUAGUCCACGCCGUAAACGAUGGAUACUAGGUGUAGGAGGUAUCGACCCCUUCUGUGCCGGAGUUAACACAUUAAGUAUCCCACCUGGGG